GGGGAUGAGGAGGUGGGGAGCGGCAGCAGGGAUUUUUUCAACCCUCUGUAAGACGAUGCUUAGCCCCGUGCGCCCGCUGCUCUACCUCCUUUAUCUCGGAGCUGGUUGCAAGUCACUGUUUUGCAUUGUAUGAAGUUUGUAGAGGACUUUACAACGAAAGACACUUGGGGUGAGUUUCCU
rnacentral:lncRNA from 12 species